AACGAACGCUGGCGGCAGGCUUAACACAUGCAAGUCGAGCGCCCCGCAAGGGGAGCGGCAGACGGGUGAGUAACGCGUGGAAUCUACCCAUCUCUACGGAAUAACGCAUGGAAACGUGUGCUAAUACCGUAUACGUCCUUCGGGAGCAAGAUUUAUCGGAGAUGGAGGAGCCCGCGUUAGAUUAGCUAGUUGGUGGGGUAAAGGCCUACCAAGGCGACGAUCCAUAGCUGGUCUGAGAGGAUGAUCAGCAACACUGGGACUGAGACACGGCCCAGACACCUACAAGAGGCAGCGGUGGGGAAUAUUGGACAAUGGGCGCAAGCCUGAUCCAGCCAUGCCGAGUGAGUGAUGAAGGCCCUAGGGUUGUAAAGCUCUUUCACCGGUGAAGAUAAUGACGGUAACCGGAGAAGAAGCCCCGGCUAACUUCGUGCCAGCAGCCGCCGCGGUAA
rnacentral:rRNA from 1 species